UCCCCAGUCGCUCGUCCCCUGGUCUGACUGUAUGCCAAGUCUCGCGAUGCCUUAGGCCGCAGCUCCUGCUGCGGGUGGCUCCGCUGUUGCUGUGGUUGCCUUAGUUGCUGCGGCGGCGACGGCGGCGGCCCCGGUGGAGGUGUAGUCCACUGAGCGGAUGUUGACAUUGUGUGUCUUUAUGGCUUGAUGGUAAUGGCGGCUGUAUUGACGACCGGGACUCCGUCUACCUCACUGUAGUCCCCCUGGAGAGCCAGCGAGGGAGCUAAGCGAGCUGAGCCGUACCCCCUUGGGCGCCUGAGGUAGCGGCGGCCUCGACUCUCCCCUUCACCCUUCCGCCGCUCUCUCACUCCAGUCCCGGGACUCAAGCCCCUCUUGGGCCGGGGCGGGGAGGGGGGAGGGCCUGCGAGGCCUCAGCAUGGCGGAUUUCGAUGAGAUCUACGAGGAGGAGGAGGACGAGGAGCGGGCCCUGGAAGAGCAGCUGCUGAAGUACUCGCCGGAUCCCGUGGUGGUUCGCGGCUCCGGUCACGUCACCGUAUUUGGACUGAGCAACAAAUUUGAAUCAGAAUUCCCUUCGUCAUUAACUGGAAAAGUAGCACCUGAAGAAUUUAAAGCCAGCAUCAACAGAGUUAACAGUUGUCUUAAGAAGAACCUUCCAGUUAAUGUCCGUUGGCUACUUUGUGGUUGCCUUUGUUGCUGCUGUACAUUAGGUUGCAGUAUGUGGCCAGUUAUUUGUCUCAGUAAAAGAAAAAAGAGGAAGAAGAGGAAAAAAAAAUCAGAAAAACCAGAUGAGAAACAAUUCAGAAAAAGGAGAGGGAGAAAGGAGCUUGCUACCCUGAAGGCAAAACUUCUAAACACGAAGAUCGAUUGAGAAGUUAUUAGAAUGGGAAAACAAUAGGUUAUACCACAAGUUGUGCUUGCACUGGAGACUGAGCAAAAGGAAAUGUGAAACGAAUAACAUGAUGGAAUAUGUCAUCCUCAUAGAAUUUUUACCAAAGACACCGAUUUUUCGACCAGAUUAGCAUUUGCUUUAUUUAUAGAGACUUAUCCAAGUAUGUUGUCUUUCCAAUGGUGCCUUGCUUGGUGCUCUCCUGGUGGUGACAUAGCAUUGGUUCUACAGAAUCUUGUGGUGUUUUUUUUUUUUAAUAACCGCAUGUUCUAAGUGUGCAUUUUUGUCAGACUUUGCAACAGUUAUUUCAUACAGAUGUUAAAUAAUUAAGUUAUUGUGCUUUUUUCUGUUACUGUAUCUUGAUUUUCAAAGAUUGCUUUUUUUUUGUAUUAUCAAAAAAAUACAUUUGAACACAGCCUAAAAAUGACCAGGCCUUUUUUUUUUUUAAAUUUUUAACUUAAGAUUCAUGAUCUUUUCAUUGUAAAUUCUUUUAACAUAAACACACUUUCUGUGACUCUGUGUGUAUCAUUUCCAGUAGACAUACUUUAUUUUAUAUUUUUUAUUUCUUAAUUUAAUCAAGGUAUUCCCUUUUUGAAAUAGUGAAUUUUCUGUACUAGUCUUUUUUGGAUUUAAAUCCCCAUUCCCCAAAUCCAGCUCCUAGUCCUCACCUCUAUUCCAAGUAGGCAUAUCUGUGUUCAUUCACAUGGAUAAAUCAUAUCAAAUAGUUCUGAAAAUAUUCUGUGUUCAAUGUUGUUAAAACAGACAUUGAAUUAUUUUGUCUAGAGUAGGAGAAUCGAUUAAAGGUAUGCAUGCAUCUAAUGGUUACUAGAGCUCAGGAUCACAGAAGACAUAGUAGCAUCACAACUUACAUAUAUCUUUAUUCAAGGUUAUAUCUUUAAUGAUGGCCUUACUUGGGUUAUUUUUUAUUGUUUACCAAAUUAUAUGUGCAAAGGUGCAGAAAUAUUCAUUUUUAGUAUUUGUCUAAGGGACACAUUUUCCAUGCUAUCCUAUUUGCAUUCCUAGUUUGGAUAAUCUUAAAAAUAGCCAUGAAAAAUUGAGUAAUGGCAACAAAUAUAGGCAGUCAUCUAAUCUCCAAAGGAUAUUCAAAACAGGAUUUAUAGGACAAUAGUGAGAACUUUAAGAUAUGGAGAAGAUAAUCUGUAUACAUGGUGGUGAGUUCUUUUAAAAUUUUAAUCCAUUAGAAUGACUUAAUUCUCUGCACAAUUAUUUAAGACUUUUUUUUUUUUAAAAUGGGGAUGUUACCUAUUUUUUGAGUCAGGCCAGUUAUAUUCAUUAUAGCAUUUUUUUCCCUUUUGUUUGUACAUACCCUUCAUGCAUUUAAAAUUAAAAUUUUUUUUCAGUUGUAUAUAUGUAAGUUUUUGUUCUUUUUAUAAGCCUGGAACUAUACAAAUUUUAAUGUAUGUUAAAAACUUGUUCCAUACAGCUGUGGUAUCGAGCAAUAAUGUGAAUAAUUUUGAAAACUAUAUACUCUGAUUAAUAAUUUGUAUUAAGAAUUGGUACCACUAUAAAAUACCUUCCUCCUUGUAUUAAAUCUUUUAAAUACCAGUUUCAUUAAUUUAUACAUCUGUAUUUUUUAGGUGUUCUGUGUAUUUCUCCACAGUACUGUAUUCUCUAAAAUGGUUGGAUGUCAUUUUAUACUUGACAUCAGGAACUGUAUGAAUAGUUUGUCAUUUUUUCCCCUAAGAAUUGUUUACCUUUGGUGCCCAAAAUAAUAGUAACAAUUUAAAAAGAAUGAUUAACGUUUCUUCUGAAGAGCUCAAAUUACAGAGCCCAAUCACAUGUUUCACCUCACUUAGCUUGUAUCUAGGGUAUGUUUUGCUGCCCUUUGAAUAGUGCAAUUAAAAUGUUAUGCUAUUCAGAACCACACUGUAAUAUUCCUUAUUGGGUUUAGUGUAAAAGAAUGUUGUAUAGAGAAAUCAUAUCUGCCUCAGGGUUUAAAACCAGAGGAAAGGUAGGCUGCUUGUUUAAAGUUAGAUGAUGCAGUAGAAUGUUCUGUCUCUAAAUGUGGUACUUUAUCUUGCAUGUGUAGGUGUGUCCCCCUUGGUGUCAUAAAAAGAGCUGAACCUGAUAAGAAAACAAAAAUGUACAUUUAUAUUUUCCCCCCUUCCUAUCUUUAAUUUUUCUUUUACUCAGCCUUCAUCAAAAAAAGAUGUGGGGCAUUUAAAAAGUAUAUUUUUAAUAUAGAAUCACAAGAGAAUAUGAAGCUUACUAUGGAUGGUAGUGCUGAGUAUAGGGUCCUUUUAAAGCCUUUCUAAUUCUCUUUUUAAUUAAAUGGAGAAGUGUGUCAUUUGCUUAAAGAGAUUCUCUGGGAAUGUGCACUCUUAGACUUUCAAUGUGUAUCUGGAAAAGAACCAUGAAUGCUUAAUAUGCCGGCACUACCAUGAGCCAAUUAUGCCUUGAACAGUUAGGUUUUCGUGCUUUGGUUUUCAUUAGUGUCCCCCAGUGUAACUGGGUUACUCUUUUUUACAGACUAUGGAUUUGAGUGGCCACAUUACUGGAAAUUGCAAAUGUCAGAGAUACUUUUAUGUAUAGAUUGGACUGAAGGAAACACUCAAAAUGGCAGUUCUAUAGCUCCCAUCAGUUCUGAGCCAUAUUAUUUUUAUACUGGCAGGGUAUAUUGGCAAAGUGGGUUAUUUGUAAAAACCUCAAUGAGUGUGUAGAUUCUUACAUAGAUAGACUUAGUGAAUAAUUUGCAUAUCAUUUGUGGUUUUGGAAAUAAUUCACUAUUCUUGUAAAGAAAGAAACAUUUGGUGGUAUUUAAAUGUAGAAUAAAACCAUGUUAUAAUAUGGUUUGCUAUUCCAUGGAUUGGAUAUUGUUGGUAAAAUUAUGUUCCUGGAAACUCAACUAUGCAAAAUAUGAUUCAUUUAUUAAUAAAAACCAUAGUUAGUCUGAAAUUAUAUGGUUAGCUUGUAAGACAGUUUACUGUCUUGUAAGAUAGUUUACUCCCCCCAAAAUUAUACUCUUAAGUUAGGAAAUGGUCAUUGUAUUACUAUGUUUAUACUUUAAGAAAACUAGUAAUGACUACUUUUAUUCUGUUAAGCAAAACUCCUGUUUAUAUUUCCAAAUAGUUAUGCCCACAAAACCAGUAUAGUAGUAACCAAAGGCUUCCUUUUAUCAUUAGUUUACCCAUGUUACUGAAGAAUUAUAGUUCAGGAAGAACCAGAAGAUGCUAGCAAAGUUUUUUAUUAUUUUAUUAUUUUUUACUAUUUUAUUAGUGUUAUUUGUGGAGUGUUUCAGGUUGUUUCUUUAAAUAUUAACUCAUCUGUCCCAUUAUAUCUUGAGGUUUUCAGGAGCACAUAGGCUACCUUAAGGCAGAAUUGCAAAGUUUGUUUUUGUUGCCCUCCCACCUCUAUUUCUAUACCCUUUCCCUUUCUGUCCCUGGCUAUCUAGACCUCCCAUGUUCUUUUCUUUUCAAAUAAGACAGCCUACCUCCUUUGGGCCUGCCUUUCCUCCAAGUACACAAAUUAUCUCUUCUUCCUUUCCUAUUUUCUUAAAGCAAGGCUCUUUAUUUCCUGCUUCUUAACUUAGUAUUAGGCUAUUUGAUUAUUUAGGGGUGAGUGGGAGGAAUCAUUGAUAGGUUCUGCCUUCUUUGGGGAUAUUUGCAUUUCUAAAAGAGGAACUUAUUAGCUCAAAUGAAUUGCUAAUUUGUUUGUAUUAAUGGGAGGAUGUCACUCUUGCCUCAUCUCGGUUGCCACCAACUGUAGUUCCAACUCUCAUGCCUAGCACCAGUUUCAAAGCUUGUACUCAGUCUUUAUUUUAUACAUAUAUUUAGCCUAGUGUUUUCUUCCUUUCUAACAUUGCUACCACCCUCUGACCCCUUAGCUGUUCAUGUAACAUUUUAAUUAUUUCAUAUUCCCCUUAGAAACUGUUUAUUAUCACAAAGAAAACAUUAAAAAUAUCCUUCCAUGAGGAACAAAAGAACAAGAAAAUAGGACAAAAUGGAACUGGUACUCAAAUCCUUUUGCCUUGUUUUAUGAUGUGAGGCUUAGUUGUCUCAGGAGACUUUAGGAAGAGAGACUGAAAUUAGGACAGGUGCUAGCAAAAGUACUAGAAUAGAGAAGUCCCUCUCCCCCAUUAGAACCCACUCCUUUUCUGUUCUCUUCUUCCAUCUUUUAGCACCAUAGUAUUUUGUGAAUAUGUUUUUUUUUUACUUUUUAAACAUUAUUUUAUUUGGUUAUUUACAAACAUUAUUCAUUGGAAACAAUGAUCAUUAUCUUUUCCUCCACAUCCCCCCUCCCACCACUUCUCCCAUAGCCAGCGCACAAUUCCACUGGGUUUCACAUGUGUUCUUGGUUCGAACCCAUUUCCAUGUUGUUGGUGUUUGCACUAGAGUGUUCAUUUAGAGUCUCUCCUCAGUCAUUUCCUCUCAGCCCCUGUAGUCAAGCAGUUGCUUUUCAUCGGUGUUUUUACUCCCACAGUUUAUCCUCUGCUUGUGGAUAGUGUUUUUUAGAUCCCUGCAGAUUGUUCAGAGACAUUGCAUUGACCCUAAUGGAAAAGUCCAUUACCUUCGAUUGUACCACAAUGUAUCAGUCUCUGUGUACAAUGUUUUCCUGGUUCUGCUCCUCUCGCUCUGCAUCACUUCCUGGAGGUUGUUCCAGACUCCAUGGAAUUCCUCCACUUUAUUAUUCCUUUGAGCACAAUAGUAUUCCAUCACCAACAUAUACCACAAUUUGUUCAGCCAUUCCCCAAUUGAUGGGCAUCCCCUCGUUUCCCAAUUUUUGGCCACCACAAAGAGUGUAGCUAUGAAUAUUCUUGUACAAGUCUUUUCCCUUAUUAUCUCUUUGGGGUACAAACCCAGCAGUGCUAUGGCUGGAUCAAAGGGCAGGCAGGCAGUCUUUUAUCACCCUUUGGGCAUAGUUCCAAAUUGCCCUCCAGAAUGGUUGGAUCAAUUCACAACUCCACCAGCAAUGCAUUAAUGUCCCUACUUUGCCACAUCCCCUCCAGCAUUCAUUAUUUUACUCUGCUGUCAUGUUAGCCAAUCUGCUAGGUGUGAGGUGAUACCUCAGAGUUGUUUUGAUUUGCAUCUCUCUGAUUAUAAGAGAUGUAGAGCACUUUUUCAUGUGCUUAAGGUUGUUCUAUUAUAAUAUUUUGAGCCUGAAUACAUUUAUGAAGAUGAAUGAGAUUACCAAUGCUUGUUUCUUUUUUCCUACUUUCCAUAUACUUAAUACCUAUAAAGUUACAUAUUUUCAGGCUUACAUCAUGCUAUGUAAUGUAGAGUUCAGCUAUGUAUCAUUAAGUAUUAUAUGCUAGAACACGGGAAGGUGUUAUAUGGUUUGGUUUAGAAAGUUAUAUCAGAGGUUUCAAAAUUUUCUUGAUCAUAAAGAUUUUUUACAAAAUAGGAAAUUAAAUCACAAGUUUCUUAUGCUAAACCAAACACUGGAGGUCAGGAGUUGACAUGUGUUUCAUAAUUGUCUGCUAACCUUGUGAGACUGAGUUACUUGGUCUUGGCUAGUUGCUCUAUCUACAAAACAAAGAUAUACCUACCUCAUAGUAUUAUGUGAACCAAUAUUUUGUUAGUAUUUGUUAUGUUCUAUGUGAAAGUAACAUUGUUUUCUAAGAGGAAUGUUUCAGUAGUAGUAAAGCAUUUAUAUGUAUCAUGUCAACACAAACCUCAUUGAAUUGACCAGGAAAUAAAGGUUUUAAGUUUACACCUGCA